UGUAUCACAACUGACCAAUUCCUAACUACCGAAGAUCUCUUGCUACAACACCAGUUGCUUCACACACAAGUAUUUCACUCACAAGAACCCUAAAACCUAAAUCACUAUUGGAGAAUUCUUUCUUUCUAUUUCUCUGACGGCUAACUUAAUCACAAUUCGUUUGUCUCCUACUUAUUGUUGAGAAUUUUAUAAUCUUGAAUAUCUUUUUUUCUAUAAUCUUUGCAGCCACAUCA
rnacentral:lncRNA from 1 species